AUCCAUCUGACGAUUCCCAAAUAGAACGAAACGCGCAUCCUGGAU
rfam:Schistosoma mansoni strain Puerto Rico chromosome 1, complete genome